rnacentral:rRNA from 1 species
UACAGAGGUGCCGAGCGUUAGGCGGAAUCACUGGGCUUAAAGCGUGUGUAGGCGGACUUCUAAGUACCUUGUGAAAUCCCACGGCUUACCCGUGGAACUGCUGGGUAUACUGGUCGUCUUGAGCCACCUAGGGGCCAGCGGAACAAAUGGUGGAGCGGUGAAAUGCGUAGAUAUCAUUUGGAACGCCAACGGUGAAAACAGCUGGCUGGGGGUGUGCUGACGCUGAGGCACGAAAGCCAGGGGAGCAAACGGG